CUCAUCAAGGGGAGAGCAGUGGCACUUAAUGGGUUAACUGGCCUAUCUGCCCAUGUGUCUAGUUAACCCAUUGAGUCGUUUUGUGCCCUAUUUUAUUAUUUUACUCUGUCUAACGCCAGACAAUUUUACUCGUCAAGGGAAAGUGCUGAUGCUUAAGUCAGCUGUCUCAAGGGGAGAGUGCCUGAAGGGGAGAGUGUUGAUUGUGGAGAGCAAUCAAAUAAAAGGCCAAUCCAACUUAUCCAAGAAAUAUCUAAACGAAGAUGUCGUCCCAUCUAUUUUUGAUUAUCAAUGAUGAAUCAAUCAGGUUUCUUGGAGAGAACUAGAUACUGUGAAGGUUUUUGAUGCAUACCAGACAAAUUAGUCAGUUUCUUCAAACUAG